UACGAAGGGGGCUAGCGUUGCUCGGAAUCACUGGGCGUAAAGCGCACGUAGGCGGAUUGCUAAGUCAGGGGUGAAAUCCUGGAGCUCAACUCCAGAACUGCCUUUGAUACUGGCGAUCCUUCGAGUCCGGGAGAGGUGAGUGGAACUGCGAGUGUAGAGGUGAAAUUCGUAGAUAUUCGCAAGAACACCAGUGGCGAAGGCGGCUCACUGGCCCGGUACUGACGCUGAGGUGCGAAAGCGUGGGGAGCAAACAGG
rnacentral:rRNA from 1 species